GGCGUUAAGAAAAAAAGUAUGUAUGAAAGGUUUGUUGUGGAAUGAUGGAAUGACGGACAAGGGUAAAAAUAUAUGGCCCCCACAACUUUCUUGCUGGGCCAUAAUAAUUGCUACUUUAAAGUCACUAGAUCAUGGUCAUGACCAAAGGGGCAGGGCCUCAUAUAAUUCCCCAAACUGAUAUGAACUGACAGCAAUCCGUUUUGUACACAAUUUCAUUGAUCUAUCACUAAUAGAUCCUAUUUUUACAUAGUCAGAUAUUAUUAGAAAUUAUAAAAAUAAUAGCAAGAACAUCUUUUAAUUUUCAAUUUGUAGAGCUACAAAUAAAGUAUAUAUCAGUUCACAAUUAAGUUACAACAGAACACAAAUGCUUCAAAUAUUUUUAAUUUAUUUAAAUGCAACUAUAAUGAUUAUUCAUUAAACAUUUAAAUAUAUCCAUUAAAAACUUGUUUUAACUUCAUCCUUCUCUUUUACAAAAAAGUUUUCUCGACAACAACAUUGACAUAAUUUGUUGCCAAUGUUGGGAACAUGCAAAAAAUGCUAAAUUUACAUGUGUUUGUAAAUUAGAUACAUUUAAUUUUAAUUGUAUGCUACUUUAUUUUCAACUGCACAACACAGUAAAAUAAAUAUAAACAGCAAAAUAAUCACUAAGCUAUUUCAAUCACUGUUAAUAUUAUUUGCUGUCCUUUAUCUGUAUUCUUCCCUUUCAUCAUCAUUAUUAUUUUAUACUUUAAUUUUACAUUCUAAAUUUAGAAUGCUAGCUAAUCAGAUUUUUCAUAUAAUUAUAUAAAUCCUAUUUAUCUACAUGAUAAUAUAUCUGAAAAUACUAAGCAGUUUGUGUGUCCUCAUUAUAUUUUAACUUAUGCAAACUCUAUCACAAACAUAUAUUGUACCUUGUCCAGACUGUUCACAAAAGGAAAUGCAGUAUAAUUUUAACUUUUCAUUGAAGAGUUUCUUUUUGCUAUAUCUUAUUACCACAAAGAAAAUUUUAAACAACAAAGUACAACUAACUAAAACUCAUGACACUGAAAACAUGGUCUUCAUUCUAAGUAAAUGGUAUGGUUCAAAUAUUUCUUAAAUAUUAAUUCAAUACCAAUACUUUAUAUUGGAA
rnacentral:lncRNA from 1 species